rnacentral:rRNA from 1 species
AGAACGAACGCUGGCGGCAGGCCUCAAACAUGCAAGUCUAGGGGGUGUAGCAAUACAUCACCGGCGGACGGGUGCGUAACGCGUGGGAAUAUACCUAUUGGUUCGGAACAACUGAGGGAAACUUCAGCUAAUACCGGAUAAGCCCUUACGGGGAAAGAUUUCUCGCCAAUAGAUUAGCCCGCGUCCGAUUAGCUAGUUGGUGGGGUAAAAGCCUACCAAGGCGACGAUCGGUAGCUGUUCUGAGAGGAAGAUCAGCCACACUGGGACUGAGACACGGCCCAGACUCCUACGGGAGGCAGCAGUUGGGAAUCUUGGACAAUGGGGAAACCCUGAUCCAGCCAUGCCGCGUGAGUGAUGAAGGCCUUCGGGUUGUAAAACUCUUUCGACGGGGACGAUAAUGACGGUACCCGUAGAAGAAGCUCCGGCUAACUUCGUGCCAGCAGCCGC